UCGAACUUGGUAUCCGUGGGUUUGGUUGGUUGUUUUGUUCCAGUGAUACUGGGAGGGAGGGAAGCAAUCGACAUUCGUGGACCUGGGAUUGUAAAUUGAGUUCUUUGCAGAAGACAUUCUGGUUCCUGAUCGUGACAUGAGUUCACUCACUUCAGGUGAUACUCGCGACCACUGCUCUCUUCUCGUAUUGGCCAGAAAUACUUUUGUUUAGAAGACUUACUUGAACUUCAUCCUUGCGUGGCCGGAAAACGACAGUCGUUAUAACAAGGGUGUUCAUACACCUCGUGCCAGCUUACGAGUUACCAUGUAUGUUAUUUUGUGAGUGAAAGUUUGUUACAUUUAUUCAAAAUCGAAUCUUAGUUUUACCAAACAAAAUAGAGAAAAGUUUGACUUGAAAUAGUAUAAAUUCUGCAAAUGGUAAUGGAAAGAUAUGUUAUCUAACAUUAGAUAUGAACUAGCAAUUUAAUAACACCUUUUGUUACAAAAAUGUGUGCCUUGUGUAUGUUUGUCUGCCAAACAUAACUGUACAGUAAACAAGCCUGUACCAGGACGAGCCUAGAUGUGUUUGUUAAUGUUGACUAAUGAGUCCGCAGAGUAAACGAAGGUCGGAGCAUUCUAGUCUAUAUGGGUAAGGUUCUCGUUCAAAGACCAGGAUUAAGACCAGACUUGGCCCAUGAAAAAGAUUGGUAUUGUAAGUCACCACUAUGGAAUCACAGCACUUGGAUAGCAGUGAAAAAUGUGAGGAGGAAGACAGACUUGUUGAACAGUUGAAGCUGGCUUGUGAUAAGGACAAU